CGGAGCCGCACCUCGCAGCCAAUCAGGACUUGAUCUCAUGAUGAUUGCAAUCAUCUUGGCUGCCAAUCAGGACUUGAUCUCAUGAUGAUUGCAAUCAUCUUGGCUGUCAAUCCAUAGCUGGAUGUCGUGGAGGUAUUUGAGAGGAGGUACGCCUUAGAGUAUAUUCUUGACUUAAUUUGUGAUGAUUGGAAUCAUCAUAGCCAAGAAUCCCCAUAGGUUGACUGUACUGGAUGUUGAAUACAUCCUUGGAAGUCUUUGAGCAGAGACCUGCCAUAGAGAGAUUCCUGACUUUAUUUAUGAUGAUAGAAGUCACCAUUGCCAGGAAUCCUCUUACGUGCGUGCUCUUCCUUUGUUCCUGCUGCUCCCUC
rnacentral:lncRNA from 1 species